rnacentral:rRNA from 1 species
GGAGCUGAAGCCAGUCGCAGAUACCAGCUGGCUGCAACUGUUUAUUAAAAACACAGCACUGUGCAAACACGAAAGUGGACGUAUACGGUGUGACGCCUGCCCGGUGCUGGAAGGUUAAUUGAUGGGGUUAUCCGUAAGGAGAAGCUCUUGAUCGAAGCCCCAGUAAACGGCGGCCGUAACUAUAACGGUCCUAAGGUAGCGAAAUUCCUUGUCGGGUAAGUUCCGACCUGCACGAAUGGCGUAAUGAUGGCCAGGCUGUCUCCACCCGAGACUCAGUGAAAUUGAACUCGCUGUGAAGAUGCAGUGUACCCGCGGCAAGACGGAAAGACCCCGUGAACCUUUACUAUAGCUUGACACUGAACAUUGAGCCUUGAUGUGUAGGAUAGGUGGGAGGCUUUGAAGUGUGGACGCCAGUCUGCAUGGAGCCAACCUUGAAAUACCACCCUUUAAUGUUUGAUGUUCUAACGUUGCCCCGUUAUCCGGGGUGCGGACAGUGUCUGGUGGGUAGUUUGACUGGGGCGGUCUCCUCCCAAAGAGUAACGGAGGAGCACGAAGGUUGGCUAAGCAUGGUCGGACAUCAUGCGGUUAGUGCAAAGGCAUAAGCCAGCUUGACUGCGAGAGUGACGGCUCGAGCAGGUACGAAAGUAGGUCUUAGUGAUCCGGUGGUUCUGAAUGGAAGGGCCAUCGCUCAACGGAUAAAAGGUACUCCGGGGAUAACAGGCUGAUACCGCCCAAGAGUUCAUAUCGACGGCGGUGUUUGGCACCUCGAUGUCGGCUCAUCACAUCCUGGGGCUGAAGUAGGUCCCAAGGGUACGGCUGUUCGCCGUUUAAAGUGGUACGCGAGCUGGGUUUAGAACGUCGUGAGACAGUUCGGUCCCUAUCUGCCGUGGGCGUUGGAAGAUUGAAAGGGGCUGCUCCUAGUACGAGAGGACCGGAGUGGACGCACCACUGGUGUUCGGGUUGUCAUGCCAAUGGCAU